rnacentral:rRNA from 1 species
AGUGAACGCUGGCGGUAGGCCUAACACAUGCAAGUCGAACGGCAGCACAGUAAGAGUUUGCUCUUACGGGUGGCGAGUGGCGGACGGGUGAGGAAUACAUCGGAAUCUACUUUUUCGUGGGGGAUAACGUAGGGAAACUUACGCUAAUACCGCAUACGACCUACGGGUGAAAGCAGGGGAUCUUCGGACCUUGCGCGAUUGAAUGAGCCGAUGUCGGAUUAGCUAGUUGGCGGGGUAAAGGCCCACCAAGGCGACGAUCCGUAGCUGGUCUGAGAGGAUGAUCAGCCACACUGGAACUGAGACACGGUCCAGACUCCUACGGGAGGCAGCAGUGGGGAAUAUUGGACAAUGGGCGCAAGCCUGAUCCAGCCAUACCGCGUGGGUGAAGAAGGCCUUCGGGUUGUAAAGCCCUUUUGUUGGGAAAGAAAAGCAGCAGGUUAAUACCCCGCUGUUCUGACGGUACCCAAAGGAUAUGCACCGGCUAACUUCGUG